rfam:Agrobacterium vitis S4 plasmid pAtS4a, complete sequence.
GGCGUAUUUUGCCCAGGCGGAGCUCGACCGCCCACUGAAGCGAUGAUUUCCUUCAUUGACGAACACCGCUCGGUGCUCGGGGUCGAGCCGAUCUGCAGGCUGCUGCCGAUUGCCCCG